GUGGACCCCUGGGCUCCUGCCCUGUCAGUAGAAGUGUGGUUACCUGGCUUCCCGGGAAGCAGUGGCCAUGGCGAUUCUAGCAUUCACAACCUCGGCGGUGCUCCAGCUUCCUCAGCAGCUCAGUGCUCAUAAACUCUAGUGACUGAACUAAUUUAAGAUGAAGAACAGAACCAUCUUUGAGGAAAGGAAGAAGAAAGGAUGGAAGCAAUAUUUUCAGUCUGCUAUUCAUUGAGACUCAAACCAGAAAGAUUCCAGACUUGUCACCAAGCUGCUUUUGAACUGUGGUGUUGGAGAUGACUCUUGAGAGUCCCU